AUUUAUGAUGUGAGAAUUUUUGACUAACUCUUGGCUAUCUCUAUAUAAGGAGCAAUGUGUCACUUCAGCUAUGUGGAGUUUCAUUUGCUAUGUUGGUGCUCCUGCUGUGUCUGCAGGCCUUCCUGCGCAUCACUGCGUUGGAUUCAGACAAGGCCACCACUUUGUUGACGGACAAUCGGCAACCGAUCGAGGAAAAGUAUACACCAAGAAUAAUACCACCAUACUGCUAUCUAAGACCAGGAGCAUGCGCACCUAUAGUAAGAGUACAAAAAUAUUCUUGAAGCUGUCUUGUGCCCUCGAAAAAAAAAAAAAA